UGAGAAGCCCCGAAGUAUUGCAUGAUAAUAUCUAAGUUCUAAUCCAAAUGAUAGUAUUUUGAGGUGUUGUUUUGAAAAUUCAUCAAAUCGACAGGGAUUUUCAGUCUCGCACUAGGACAGGGAUGACACAUUCGUUUCAAAGUUGAAACAAGUUGCAUCGUAUUUGACGAAUUUCUCAUGACAAUUUUAUAUUUUGCUAUCGCAAUAAUUGGAAAUAACACCAAGCCGUAACUACGUUGUUUCACUGGACUAAAUCUUUAUGGAACUAGUUAGGUCAAUAAAGUUUCGGGUCGCGAAACGAAAAUUCGUGUGUAUGUAGGUAACUUCAGCUAUUAGAGGAUAAGGUAACUUGUAUAUUGUUUCCUUCAAGAGCGCAGAGACAGUUCGUGACCGUAUUUCAUAUUCAACAGAACUUUCUGAAUGUACGAGUUUCGACCUCAUCAGCAUUUUGAUAAUGCAUUUUGAUGUUGAUACUGUGUAUGCGAAUAAGAUCUCUGCGGACGAUUCAGCCGACGGAAAGACAAACCUUUGAAUCUGAUAUUUGUGCGGUUAUUGUGUCUACAAUUCCACCGUCCAGAUCGAAUCCAAGAACCUAAGACUUCCUCCUCAUACAGCUGCUGUCACAGGAACGAUGCUGAUUACCCCGAGCACGAGGACUCAAAUAGGAUCUGAAGCUCCCAAGAACAGUCCACGAUGCCAGCCACACGGCGCCUACUUGCUCUGUUCGAUGCAGCAGCAUUCGGUUAUUUUUGGCUAAUCAGAUUCCUCCUGUCAUUCUGUGAACUGGAGUACAUAUAAAGUACAAAAAUUACAUGGGUCCCAUAAUCAUCAUCGCCUCGAUUAUAGGAAACAAAAAUCUUGUGGCUCAAUUGAUUACAGCCGGGGCGAAUAUAGAAUGUAAAGACAAUGGCGGGAAUACUCCAAUCAUCAUCGCCUCGACUAAUGGACACCAAGAGGUGGUGGAUCUAUUGAUUAAAGCGGGGGCGAAUAUAGAAUGUAAAGACAAGUACGGGCAUACUCCAAUCAUCAUCGCCUCGAUUAAAGGACACCAAGAGGUGGUGGAUCUAUUGAUUAAAGCGGGGGCGAAUAUAGAUCAUGCCAACGAUGAGGGAAGAACUCCUAUAGGGUGUGUAUCGAUUGAAGGACACCAAGAGGUGGUGGAUCUAUUGAUUAAAGCGGGGGCGAAUAUAGAAUGUAAAGACAAUGGCGGGAAUACUCCAAUCAUCAUCGCCUCGAUUAAAGGACACCAAGAGGUGGUGGAUCUAUUGAUUAAAUCGGGGGCGAAUAUAGAAUGUAAAGACAAGGACGGGCAUACUCCAAUCAUCUUUGCCUCGGCUAAUGGACACCAAGAGGUGGUGGAUCUAUUGAUUAAAGCGGGGGCGAAUAUAGAAUGUAAAGACAAUGGCGAGAAUACUCCAAUCAUCAUCGCCUCGAUUAAAGGACACCAAGAGGUGGUGGAUCUAUUGAUUAAAGCGGGGGCGAAUAUAGAAUGUAAAGACAAUGGCGAGAAUACUCCAAUCAUCUUUGCCUCGAUUAAAGGACACCAAGAGGUAGUGGAUCUAUUGAUUAAAGCGGGGGCGAAUAUAGAAUGUAAAGACAAGGACGGAGAUACUCCAAUCAUCUUUGCCUCGGCUAAUGGACACCAAGAGGUGGUGGAUCUAUUGAUUAAAGCGGGGGCGGAUAUAGAAUGUAGAAACAUUAGCGGGAAUACUCCAAUCAUCAUCGCCUCGAUUGAUGGACACCAAGAGGUGGUGGAUCUUUUGAUUAAAGCGGGGGCGGAUAUAGAAUGUAAAGACAAUGGCGAGAAUACUCCAAUCAUCAUCGCCUCGAUUGAUGGACACCAAGAGGUGGUGGAUCUAUUGAUUAAAGCGGGGGCGAAUAUAGAAUGUAAAGACAAGGACGGGAAUACACCAAUCAUCAUCGCCUCGAUUAAAGAACACCAAGAGGUGGUGGAUCUAUUGAUUAAAGCGGGGGCGAAUAUAGAAUGUAAAGACAAUGGCGGGAAUACUCCAAUCAUCAUCGCCUCGAUUAAAGGACACCAAGAGGUGGUGGAUCUAUUGAUUAAAGCGGGGGCGAAUAUAGAAUGUAAAGACAAGGACGGGGCUACUCCAAUCAUCAUCGCCUCGAGUGAAGGACAUAAGGAUGUGGUGGAUCUAUUAGUUAAAGCGGAUGCAAUUAUUGAAGUCAGUAACUUUGAAAACGACACUCCGAUAGUUUGCGCAGCUAAAUGGGGUAAUGUUGAAAUUGUUGACGUUUUGUUGAAAGAAGGUGCUUGUUCCAGAAGUUCUAGUUAUGGAUCGCUAUUAAAUAUUGGUGCAACGUUUGGUCGACGACGGGUCGUUGAAUAUCUUUUUAGACGCGGGAUGUCAUUAGAAAUCCGUGACUUGAAAGGAAACACCCCACUUCAAAAUGCUAUCAUAAAGGGUCAUCUCUCAGUGGUCCAACUCCUAAUAAGGAGUGGAGCAGAUACAUCCACAUCACACCCUUCGUCGGAGAGUAUUAUAUAUUCUGCUGCUUCGUGUGGCCAUGCCGAUAUCGUGAAAUACUUGGGAAGCAGUGAUGUACGGAAGUUAUUGGAUUUGCCCAAUGCCAGUGGGUGGUCGCCUAUUGCCAAGGCAGUUUCAGGUGGUCAUUUUCGGACAGUUAGACAACUUCAUCAGCUUGGAGCUGACAUGAACUGCAGUGUAAAUGGAAAAGGACUGCUUCAUCUAGCAGCUGAGUCCGGUUGCCUAGAUAUCUAUCAAUAUCUUAUCAUCGCUGGGCUUGACUGCAAACGACCCAACAUCCAUGGAUUGAAGGCUUAUGAAUGCUUCCCCUUUCAAUCAAAACUUAAUUAUCAAGCAAGCAACCGAUUAGGACAUUCCUGCGAACAAAGUCUCUCUUACGUCAUGUCGCGAUUAAAUGAGCAAUAUGCUACACCCGCGUAUAGAUACAAACUUUCAGAAUUAUCGGGUGUACUGGGACUAGGCAGCGUGAAUAUUAUCGAGGGUGGUGUUUCGGAAACUAUCAUGGGGUUUGUAAGGGAGAAGGAGGUUGUUAAGGGUUUAGAGUUAUGCGGAAGUUCGGCUGAGGGCACGAAGGUUCAGCUGCCUGAUGAAAUGGACUUCCUUGUAUUGGUAUCUCCAUAUCAUCUCUCUCGAAACGAAAUGGUUGAUAAAUUACAUGGAUAUAAGUAUGUAAAAACUAGAACAAUGAAGAACAGGUUUUUAUCAAGUAAAGCACUCCAUGAGGGUGUAAGCCAAAACCUAGAAUCUAGCGCAAAAGCCCAAGAGUCUAAAAAAAGCGGAGAAAUGCUUUUGCAGGCAGUUGCUGGAGGAGGCAGUGCCAGUGUUCCUGUGACUAUCAGAUGGCCCGAUGAUAAACCUUCAAAACGCAUUGUCUCAGAGCAUAUAGUAACAACCUUACCUGUAAAUGAUUGGCCCGAUGAUUGGCAAGAUGAUUGGUCCGAUUCUGCACUACAGAAAGGAGAAUCUGAAAGUGAGGUAACGGCGGACGUUUGUGUUUAUCAACGGACUGGAUACAUCUUAUCUCAAGCUGAUGCUAGAAGAGGAUUGGCCAGUGUUCCUGUGACUAUGAGAAGGCUUGAAAAUAUAUCAUCCAGUCUCCUUAUCUCUGUGGAUCUAGUACCGAUAUAUCAUGUUGAUGAUUGGCCAGACGAUGCUAUCAAGAAGACCUGGAAGAUGGACGAGGACACCUUGAAGAAGAGUGGGUAUAGGCUGGUCCUCAAACCGCCACACAAGGACAGUGAGUACGGACGGUUGCUACCCGAGGAAGACAGAGAAAGAAUGUUGCGGAUCUCCUUCUCUCAUCUAGAACCUGCCACAAUCGCACCUUUGGAUCCAAGAAUCAAAGACGCAUACAUCACAGCAAAGUGUCUGAGGUCACCUAUGGCAUGUGGCGUUGUGAUUAAAGACACGAACGGCGUCAUACAUUUCGUCAGUCACUUCCUUACAAGCUACCUCCUGAAGACAGUCUUCCUUCAUAACAUAGACGACUUCCUUGAGACAAACAGGAGCCUGCCAGAGAUGGUCUACAUCAUCUACAGCCAACUUGAGGAUUACCUCGGCAAGGGCAACCUACCGUUCUACUGGCAGCCCAGCGUCAAUCUGCUGGAAGGCUUGAAACUCAACAUAGCCAAGUCUCAUCAAGUCGCCAAGUUGAUGAAGGCAAUCGUUGGUAGGAUGUCCCGCCUGGAGCGUGGUGAUGAGAACCAUGGUGACGAUGCGAGGGAAGAUGGGCCAGGCAUUGAAGCCGCUGAUGACGAGCCUGACAUAGGUUGUUACAUCGUCAGAUUAGAAUAGCCAGCAAGUUUAUUUCCAGUAAUCUUCACCCCGAUGAACACUUGGUAUUUUGUAUGCGAGACGGAUGCUCCGGUGUAACCACAUCUAUGGUUAUUCCCUGGCCUCACCCAGCCCGGCCAGUUCAAACCACGAGAGUGCAUGUGUACGAAUUGGGCCGACGCGACAGGCGCAGCGGUCGGAAGGGAGUCUCUGGCGGGGUGUCUCGGACUUUGGUUCGACAUCGAAAGCCUCAAGUUCGUCAGGACCUUCAAAGCUAAGUGGCGACACAUUGGCAUUGUUCAUCCCGAUUGAGUUGAAUGAUGGAUGGCAUCCAACGACAAUGCGUAUGAUAUCUACAGGGGGCUUGGCUUACAUAUCCAGACACUCUCAGAUCGGUAUUAUGACAUAGGAAGUUGGAUGUUGCACUCAAUUCCUUUCAUAGUACUUAUGAGUUACUUACACCCUUUGAUAUGCUGACUGCAUGGGUGAACAAAGGUAUGGACUGGUAUAUCUUGUAUUGACAUGUUAACUUGUAUUGAUAUUGUAAUUGCAUGAGGUAGGGUAGCUACCUUAUAACCUUAAUAUCCUUAUGUAUUGAAUUGUAUAAAUUGUAUUGUCAUGUAUUUACAUGUAUAAACUUGUAUCGACUUAUAUUGUAUUAUGUUCGGUGUAACUUUUUAUAAUUAUAUGUGUCACAAUAUUAUAUGGUAGAAGUCAGAAGGCCUAGAGAUUGCAAGCUGUUUGAAGCCAGUCUAUUACUAUCAUAACGUUGUAUUGCAAGAGAGUCACAUUCAUUAUUUGCUAUAUUUUGUGAGUAACAUUUAAGAGUGUGAAGCCUGGUAGGCCCUGUCACAAGUUCUAAAUGAUCAAGUGAUUACGGUUUUAUGUACGCUUGUAAUGACUCUCAUUACAGAAUGACUGCAAACUUGUGGAUGGAAAUAGAUUGAAUACUCGUUAAGGUGAAACUAUAGUGCCUCCAUGUUGCCAGUCAACAAGAAUUCAUCCAAAAUAUCCACAAACUGGUAAAAGUGUUACUCGGAGAACAUAAUAGUUUGCGUUGCGUCCGAACAACAUGUUAUAUGACAAAGACAAGCAAAUGCUUUUACUUCAAUUUUGUGCAGAAAGCUUUGUGUACAUGUACAGUACAUAUAGCGCUUUAGAUAAAAUCACCCGCCAGUCUCUUUCAUAUGAGCCAUUAUCUUGUCCUAUUUGUUGAUGUUUGAAAGAGUUCCGGUGUUCCUAAUACAUUAACAUAAUAAAGAGUGAGUAUAUAGUUUCACCUUAAGGGUUGACAAUAGGUAUCGCCAUUUUGUCGAGUCCUCCAAAUCCUAAAGCCUUUAGAGCUCUUUCAAAACAUAGUGAAAGCUCAUUUCAAGGGCUGGAGUCUGUUUAUUGUUUUCCAGAGAUCAGCUUCCAGUCCAGAUGUUUAAAUGAGCAUUCACUACAUUUUGAAGGUGUUCUAAUUGCUUUUUGAUUUCAAGUUCUAGCCAAAAUGGCGGUAUCUAUAGUCAACCCUUAGUGCACCUUCAGCUUUCUAACAAUUGUUUGGGUGUCUUUUUAGACUUCAAACUAUUUUGAGUUUCUCUCUAACGUUGUUUAAGCCAACUGGCUGGUCUUAAUGACUGAUCAUAAAAUUCAGGUUUAUUUAAGCUACAUGUAUGUAUCUUUUCCCAAUAUAUGUACCGUUAAGUGACAAAACAAUUGCGACUUGAUCACUCAUUGCAACCAUUCCAGCGAAGUGUCCUUGCGAACCAUAUGCAAGUUAUUGUAAACAUUUUCAGUGAGAUUUUGAUUUUUGAAGGCCCAGGUGUCCUUGGUCGAAGUUGUUCAAAGCAAAUCUCCUUUCAUUCAGAGUUUCCUAAAGAGAAUUUCAUCAUGGCAUGGGAAAAAAGAGGUAGUCGCUGUGAAUGGUUGAUUUUGGGUUGUAAACAAUGGCUUGUGUGCCAAACAGGUGGGUUUUGGGUGGAAAGAUUUGUUAGGUUACCAAUCUGGUGUUUUAAAAACUUGAAAGUGGCAAGAUAGGUUUUAUUAAAGUGGUUUGGUGUUAUUAGAUUUACCUUAGUAAAAUUUCAGUUCGAGAUAAGACCACCAUUGAAUAUUCAUAGGUUGCAGUAUCUGGAUCUAUCAACGAGAAGCUUGUCCGAUUAUCUAUAAAAAUCUGCGGACAACGACCACUUUAAUUUCCACAAGUUUGUCGCCAGACUGUCCGGAAUAUCAUAUCCACAUCUGAGAUUCAAAACUGCCCGCAGUAAUUGGUGCGACGUGGGCAAACUUUGGCAAAUGAACUGAUGAAAGUCUUUAACAAAUCAAUGGUGGUUUUGCCUCGUUGGACGAACGAGUCCUUCAGUUCUCACCCCCUAUUCUAGUAGGCGCUGUCUACCCGGCUCAACACUUGCGACAGGCGACACUUCAAAAAAGAAAGUCCUGGCUUUACUGUGUGUUUCUGAACCGAAGUCCGUUGCGAUUAUAUUUUAUAGUUCGGCUAAUUCAAGCCAUUAUAUGUGUACAUGUAAUCAUGUGCAAUUUCGCAAAUCAUUUUGAUUACAGUUCAGUAAUGCACAGAUAGAGGGAGAUAUUGCUUGUAAAUGGAAUGUUCAUAAAAUUCGUGUCCGUCUUCAAGCAAUAAGACUCGAAAUAUGGUUAGACGCUUUAUGUCAUUCGGUACAGAUUCAUCCUAACCGGUGUAGAAGUAGAAAUUGUCUGAGGGAAAAACCAUCCACCCUAUUGUAUUUUGUCAGAUUAUGGUAUUAUGGUUCUUUCGGUGACAUUACCGUCAAUAUGUCAGAGAUUAAAGAGCAUAAUAGAAUCCUUUGCUCCCCCGGAAAUUCUAUCCUGGGACAUUUCAAACUUCUACACCGGACUCAUUGAAAACACUCAUGUCUCGAUAUCGAUAUGAGGGCGGUUCAUGCGGGGGGGGGGGGGGUCUCAGAUGUUCUUAUCUCUUUGAUACUCUCUGUAGUCAAUGUGAGUCUUAGAGACAGCACGUACUUGGAUAUCACUAUGUAUGUUUAUUGUUACUUUUGCGCUGUUUAGUUUAGUUAUCAUGCAGUUUGUAUUCUUAACAUGAGGGACAGGAUUUGCAACACUUACGAAGUGUACUAAGUAUGUAACCAUUAUGAUAAAUGUAUUUUAUCGACGGCUGUCUUUGAUGAGUUCGCUGAGUCCAUGUACUACUAAGUGUGAAAGCCUAUUUACGAGUGUCCCGUAAAUGGAUUCGCCCAGGACUUGAUGAUACUACGUACAGACCUUCGUACCUCGUACUAUGUUGCUUAUAAAGAUUGCGAAACCUCCCUAUUAUUUCAAUAAUUAGAUUAUAGCCUGAGGCAAGAA